rnacentral:rRNA from 1 species
UAAGGAAUAUUGGUCAAUGGACGCAAGUCUGAACCAGCCAUGCCGCGUGCAGGAAGACGGCCCUACGGGUUGUAAACUGCUUUUGUACCGGAAUAAACCUUUUCACGUGUGAGAAGCUGAAUGUACGGUAAGAAUAAGGAUCGGCUAACUCCGUGCCAGCAGCCGCGGUAAUACGGAGGAUCCAAGCGUUAUCCGGAUUUAUUGGGUUUAAAGGGUGCGUAGGUGGCCUAUUAAGUCAGGGGUGAAAGACGGUAGCUUAACUAUCGCAGUGCCUUUGAUACUGAUGGGCUUGAAUACACUUGAGGUAGGCGGAAUGUGACAAGUAGCGGUGAAAUGCAUAGAUAUGUCACAGAACACCAAUUGCGAAGGCAGCUUACUAAAGUGUUAUUGACACUGAGGCACGAAAGCGUGGGGAUCAAACAGGAUUAGAUAGCCCUGGUAGUCCACGCCCUAAACGAUGAAUACUCGAUGUUGGCGAUAUACGGUCAGCGUCUAAGCGAAAGCGUUAAGUAUUCCACCUGGGGAGUACGCCCGCAAGGGUGAAAGCUCAAA